rnacentral:rRNA from 1 species
AGAACGAACGCUGGCGGCAGGCCUAACACAUGCAAGUCGAACGCCCCGCAAGGGGAGUGGCAGACGGGUGAGUAACGCGUGGGAACGUGCCCUUCGGUUCGGAAUAACUCAGGGAAACUUGAGCUAAUACCGGAUACGUCCGUAAGGAGAAAGAUUUAUUGCCGAAGGAUCGGCCCGCGUCGGAUUAGCUAGUUGGUGAGGUAACGGCCCACAAGGCGACGAUCCGAGCUGGUCUGAGAGGAUGAUCAGCCACACUGGGACUGAGACACGGCCCAGACUCCGUACGGAGCAGCAGUGGGAAUAUUGGACAGUGGACGAAGCCUGACUCAGCA